GUGUGGAGACUUAGAGGUUCUCAACUUUGGGAACUUGGAGAAUCCUUUUAACCAUCCUCAUCCAAGAAAUCCAUGGAGCUAAGAAGCAAGAAUGAAGGCCCUCUCCUUGGGUGAUUAGCCUUUGCUUAUGCAAAGAGGAACAACAAAGGUAUAAAGUUUCUCAACUCACUUUGUUUUGAGUUGAGUCUUGGUUCACCCUUCUACUAGGCUUUGAAUUUCAUGGGUAAUGUUUUGUUUUUGAGUGCAUACAAGCAUGAUUCUGCCUUUAAUUGUUAAUUGCAUGCCAUAGAUGUUGCUCAAAUGAACAUGUUUUUCACAAAAUUUCCUUCAAGUGGUAUCAAGAGCCUAGGUCUAGUAGUUGGUGAAUCCUUGUGGGUUUUGUAUUUUCAUAGUUUAUGAUUUGAAUGUUGUAAUUGUUACAAG
rnacentral:lncRNA from 1 species